CCUACGGGUGGCUGCAGUCGAGAAUCAUUCACAAUGGGGGAAACCCUGAUGCUGCGACGCCGCGUGGGGGAAUGAAGGUCUUCGGAUUGUAAACCCCUGUCAUGUGGGAGCAAAUUAGACAGAUAGUACCCCAAGCGGAAGUGACGGCUAAAUCUGUGCCAGCAGACGCGGUAAUACAGAGGUCGCAAGCGGUGUUCGUAAUCACUGGGCGUAAAGCGUGCGUAGGCUGUUUCGUAAGUCGCGUGUGAAAGACGCGGGGUCAACCCGCGGACUGCACAUGAUACUGCGAGACUAGAGUAAUGGAGGGGGAACCGGAAUGCUCGGUGUAGCAGUGAAAUGCGUAGAUAUCGAGAGGAACACUCGUGGCGAAGGCGGGUUCCUGGACAUUAACUGACGCUGAGGCACGAAGGCCAGGGGAGCGAAAGGGAUUAGAUACCCCUGUAGUC
rnacentral:rRNA from 1 species